rnacentral:tRNA from 1 species
GUUUUAAUAAUUUAAAUAAAAUAUUGAUUUUGUAAAUCAAAAAUUAGGAAACCCUAUUAAAACU